rnacentral:rRNA from 1 species
GAUGAACGCUAGCUACAGGCUUAACACAUGCAAGUCGAGGGGAAACGGCAUUGAGUGCUUGCACUCUUUGGACGUCGACCGGCGCACGGGUGAGUAACGCGUAUCCAACCUUCCCAUUACUGUGGGAUAACCUGCCGAAAGGCAGACUAAUACCGCAUAGUCUUCGAUGACGGCAUCAGAUUUGAAGUAAAGAUUUAUCGGUAAUGGAUGGGGAUGCGUCUGAUUAGCUUGUUGGCGGGGUAACGGCCCACCAAGGCGACGAUCAGUAGGGGUUCUGAGAGGAAGGUCCCCCACAUUGGAACUGAGACACGGUCCAAACUCCUACGGGAGGCAGCAGUGAGGAAUAUUGGUCAAUGGACGGAAGUCUGAACCAGCCAAGUAGCGUGCAGGAUGACGGCCCUAUGGGUUGUAAACUGCUUUUGUAUGGGGAUAAAGUUAGGGACGUGUCCCUAUUUGCAGGUACCAUACGAAUAAGGACCGGCUAAUUCCGUGCCAGCAGCCGCGGUAAUACGGAAGGUCCAGGCGUUAUCCGGAUUUAUUGGGUUUAAAGGGAGUGUAGGCUGGAGAUUAAGUGUGUUGUGAAAUGUAGACGCUCAACGUCUGAAUUGCAGCGCAUACUGGUUUCCUUGAGUACGCACAACGUUGGCGGAAUUCGUCGUGUAGCGGUGAAAUGCUUAGAUAUGACGAAGAACUCCGAUUGCGAAGGCAGCUGACGGGAGCGCAACUGACGCUUAAGCUCGAAGGUGCGGGUAUCAAACAGG